GCACCGAGCACCAGCCCGGAACAUUCAUUCCUCAAAUAUUGACAGGUCUAUGGGGCGCCUGUCUAGUCGCUGUAUUCUGGAAGCCCACGAUCUGUCUGGUCUCACGGACCCUCGCCUCUCCCAGACCUGAUGUGCAUGGCAUUAGAUGGGCCUUCGGACUUGACUUGUAAGGACACGGCGAGGAGGGGCCGGCUGCAGGCCAGGAAGUGAGUCCUCGCCAGAACCCGACCCUGCUGGCAGCGCGGCCUCGGACGUCCCCCCAGAGCUGUGAGAAACCAAUGCGUUGUUUCUACCACGGGGUCUGCAGUCAUUUGUUCGAGCGGCCCAGGUUGACUGAGCGAAGGCCUAAAACCCACAGCUCAAAUAUUGAAGCCCAUGGCAACGAGGCCCUAGACGCGGUUAACAACCCCCUCCCUCUGGCACAGGCUGACCUUUGACCUCAGUCCAAAAUUAAGCCCUCACUAGGGUCAUAGUCUGAGCCCUGAUGCCGGUCCCCCAGAGGAUCUGCCCCUGGUCACUGACUGCGUCCUGUCUCAUCACCCAUGUUUUGGGCACACCCUGUAUACAGCCCCUUGGCCUAGACCAAGCCUGGAUCCCCUGGCUGUCCCAACUUUCUGGCAAGGUCUGUCACUAAGGGGCCUGAGCUCCUGCAGUCCCUCCCUGCAGUGGACGGGGUCAGGGUGUGGCUUUGAUAUGGCUCACCCUUAGCCCCCUUCCUCUCCUCUGCUCUGCCGUCACCCUCUGGGAAUCCAGAUUUUCCUGUUUUUUCUCACCUCUCCACCUACCUGCCCAACCCGUUGGGUUCCCUGGAGAUCCUGCCCGCUCACAUUUCCCUUCUCGCCAGGACAGAAAGCCAGGGCUGAUGGGACCAGCAGCAGGGCCAGGCCCUGGGAGGAGGCAGGAUCGUCGAGCCCACCUUGUGCAGGGUCCUUGCCAACAGACCAUGACCUCCCAGGGCUGCCAUGUGAAUGGACACCAUUUUUGGAUGAAUCUUGUAUUUUGGGCAGA